UACAGAGGGUGCAAGCGUUGUUCGGAAUUAUUGGGCGUAAAGCGCGUGUAGGCGGCUUUGCAAGUCGGGUGUGAAAGCCCUCAGCUCAACUGAGGAAGUGCGCCCGAAACUGCAGAGCUUGAGUGCCGGAGAGGGUGGCGGAAUUCCCGGUGUAGAGGUGAAAUUCGUAGAUAUCGGGAGGAACACCAGUGGCGAAGGCGGUUGCCUGGAGCUUUGCUGACGCUGAGGCGCGAAAGCGUGGGGAGCGAUCCGG
rnacentral:rRNA from 1 species